UCUCUCUCACCCGAGAUCCAUGGCGACGACGCCGCUGCGGCGAUCUCCAAUUCGGCCUAGCUCCAGUGCUCUCCUGCGCCGUUACUCGCUGGCCCCAUCGCCCUGGCUCCCAUUGAGUGCUUCCUCUGAUCCUCCGCUGCCAUGACAUCCUGCACGCCCCUGUGCCCCUGCAGCAACCCUAACACCGACGCGUCUCCUGCUCCUCUGGUUUUUGCCGAUUCACCAACACAUGCGUCUUCGCGCAUGCAGCUACUGCCACGGGCUCGACGGUGCUGCUCUGCCUCUGCUACCUCAACUGCGACGCCGAUGGUUCAAUCACGGCUGGAUACAACAACAACCGCGGCCACUCUCAACAUGGUGGCUUCCAUUAUUCUGUUUGGGAUUUGGUGCCCCAGAUUCUUAAACGUUCCACUUGUGCAUGGGUGACAAUUAGGUUUACACUUAUAGUAUAAAAAGCUACUUGACGUAAUGAGGUUGAGCAUUUGCGUGAGUGCCGCAACUUGGAAGAUAAAUAUGACCGGCAAUGAUGGCAGCAUGUUAAUGGCAUCAUGUAGGUGUGGUGUUCAUCGAUCCCUUCUUUCUUUGUGUGUGUGCGCGUGGCGUGUAUAUAUGGAUUCGUCUUAAUAUGCCAUGUUAAUUGUUCAUUUAGAUUGAUCUCUUUUCCAGCACGUUUAUCCCAUAUAUUUGAUAUCUCUCUCCCAGCAGGUAAUUUCAUCUUGUAAUUUGCGUAAAUGUUUGUUCGUAUUGUGCAGUGAUAAUCUAUUUUAUUUCUCAAGAAUAUUAACUAUUGUUGCGUAUGAUUGCAGGAUAAUGCAUUAUGACAAUCGCUCUGUGCCUCUGCCUAUUCUUACACUCUGACUUCGGAAGUAUAAACCGAUGCGUAGAAAGACAAAGAACGUGCAAUUUAUUAGAGCUGGAACUGGCAGAACCUAUCAUCAGGAUAUGGAGUUACAGUUGCCAAGAGAAGCUGAUCAUUUUGGUUUCAGUUAAUGAAGGGUGAACAUGUCAGUGUAGAUGCUCAUGUGAUGAGCUUAGGUUUUUGUUUUCCGGAAUGAAGCUGCGAUUUGUUUCCUUGUACAAUGCACAUGUUCUUGUUAAACACAUGUGUACAAGCUGAAGGUACAAUUUGUUGUCAACAAUUCCGUUCUGAUGGGCAAUACUUAGAGCAGAGCAUAUAUGUACACAUAUGUAUUAU